rnacentral:rRNA from 1 species
CAGCAGCCGCCACGGGAAUACAGAGGGUGCGAGCGUUAAUCGGAUUUACUGGGCGUAAAGCGUGCGUAGGCGGCUUCUUAAGUCGGAUGUGAAAUCCCUGAGCUUAACUUAGGAAUUGCAUUCGAUACUGGGAAGCUAGAGUAUGGGAGAGGAUGGUAGAAUUCCAGGUGUAGCGGUGAAAUGCGUAGAGAUCUGGAGGAAUACCGAUGGCGAAGGCAGCCAUCUGGCCUAAUACUGACGCUGAGGUACGAAAGCAUGGGGAGCAAACAGGAUUAGAUACCCCUGUAGUCCCUGUCUCUUAUAU